GGAGGCGGCACGGCCUCCUCGUGCUAAAAUUCUCUUCCUCCCUACCAGGAGUCGGGCGCCGUGCGGGUGUCCUCUGUCCGUCUCUACGGAGACAUGGUGCAGGCCGUGGUCUGGUGCCACCAGAGGAAAAUGAAGGGGACGGCGCGCAGGGGUCUGGUCCCGCUGCUCUUUCGGAUGAGAGAUGAGAACCAGGACGUGGCCCAGGUACAGUUUCCGUCCCACCAAGGGCAUGGUGACACUGUUUGGGUGCUCUGGGUGCCAGGGCCCAUGGCUGCUGCUCCUACAGCCUGGGCUCAGAGUUCUGCCACCGGCCGCCUGGGCGUCGAGGGCCCGGGACAGAGCCAGCUGGGAGCCCAGCGUCAUGCUGGGGAUGGCCGUGGAGGGGCUGCUGGCUCCGUGUCUCUGUGUGGCCAUCUUGCACAGCCCGUUUUCUGUCCCCCUUCCCACAGCGCGCUGGGAAAGGCUCCCGGCCCUGCCAAGAGGAGGGCAGUGCCGGGUCUCCUUCCUGGGGCCAUGGUGCCAUCUGCCAGCUUCUGCUUCCCUGCAGGCCGCCGGGAGAGCCAUUGUACAAACGGCAAAUCUCCUGCGCUGGAACGACCUCCGGCAGCUGGCUGAGAAAGGGGAGACAUGGAGGAUCGCGGAGUGCUUGCUGCGGCGGGACCAGAGCAGGGCAGAGGAAUACCUGCAGGAGAGCCAGCCUUACCUGCAGGACCCUCAGGCGGCCUUGCGAGAGGAGGCCGUGAGGUUCAUUGCCCUCGUGCCUUUGGCCAGCGACGCAGAGAGCUCGGUCCAAAGCUUGGCAGCUCAGACCACAUUGAUCCUCGGGACAACCACGAGGACAGCGACAUCUCGGCGGCGCCUGCGAGCGCUGCGCUGUCUGUUCUGCUGAGCUGCAGCACUCCUCUGACAGCUCCGUCCCUCAGAGGAGCUCAGCAAACCCAGUGCCGUGGUGCCCUUCACGCUGGGACGUCCCUGCCCGUGCUCAGCAGGCACUGCCAUUCCUGGCCUCUGCUCCUGGCUGCAGGAUGUGCAUCCCUCUGCACUGCCGAGGCCAUGGCUGUCCAACCUGUUGUCUGGGCUGGGCUUCACUGAGUGAAGAGGAAUUGUCUCCGGCCACAUGUAUGUGCAUAUAUUUAACAUAUGGAAGUCACAGAUCUUCUUUUUGUAUCUAUCCGAGUCUUUAAUAAAAUAUUUUAAAUUGUAUGGGAGCA
rnacentral:lncRNA from 1 species